GUAUCGGCGUAUAAGCCGCAGAUAUGCGCCGAUAUGAACGUUUGUUACAGAACACAUUAAAUGCAUUUGAAAGAUGUAAGUACUUGUUUGUCCAGCAGAGUGCGCCAUACUGGUUGCUAAUGGUGACCCAGAUCACUCACUGUAGUGACACCAUCCAAUCCCCCACCCCCUUCACUUCAGUCAGUCAGUCUCUCAGUUCAGGUGGCUGCAGUCACGCAGUGUCUUCUUCACAACAUUUUUACACCUGGUAUUAAGACGCGCUUUGGUCGAUUGGAUUAUAAAUGGACAAGAGAGACGCAUUCCCGCUUACAUUUGGUGUUUUUAAUCCGUCUCUUUGUCGACUUGCGAGUUAAAACGCAAGCGGGAGAAAUGACGCGAGACGGAGAAAUUACACGCUUAAACUACGCGCAGCCGUGCACUUAUAUAACACUAUAUGAGAUUACUGCUGCUUGUGUUGUUAGUUAACACGCUCAUUUCAGAGCAAUUGAUUCAAUAAGCUCGCGCAACUCUACACCCUUGCUAAAUAAAAGAGGCAGAGCGAAGACGCAUUAGUUUUAUUAAAGUCUAAAGUUUGCACGGAACCCUGGGUUUGUGUUAUAAAAACGUUGUGCACAACAUUAAACAUAGUGUACAUUAGUAUGUGCUCCGUCAAGCAUUGUCUUCGUAACUGUGAGUGGCUAACUAAUUUGUGAAGUACACAACUUACUGUAAAGCUAAUAAUCAAUGACUUCAUAAGUUUCUCUGUAUAACGUUAUGGACUAGUUGCACGGGAUGACGUUUUUCUAUUUCCGCUUUCUUGAGUGUACGCGUGUAAGCUUCCGGUUUCGCGAUAUGAAUAGAGGAAGAUAUGAAUCAUGGCGCUGUUUUAAACACAAUUCUGCAAGAUCUAUCAAAGUAACAAUCACCGAUGUCCAUCGGCUAGUACACCAGCAUGCUCAGCUCCGAUGAGCAAAAGGAAAAAGUUGUUCAAGGUGUAUAUAUCAAGUUACAUCGACAACUAUGAAGAUUGUCUUUGACGACUCCUCACCAGUUGACAUUUCAGUGGCAGACUGUUCUGUGUGGCUGAAAGAGCACUCUGCAACCACUAUGUUGUGUUUGACCCAGCUGAGAGCCCACCCUUCGGACUGCUGGAAAUUAAAUGUCCCAAUUUAAUGACUGUAGCUACUUGAAAAUACAGAGUGCAAUGCUGAAAUUAAAGCAGACUCACAGAAAGAGCCAGGAUGCCAGCUACUUCUUAUAGGGAUGUAGUGGUGUGAUUUUUGGUGUUUUUACAGAGGAGGGUAUUCCCAUACAAUGCAUCUACAGAGACUGUGAGGUGGCUAAAACUAUAAGGGAGAUUAUUUUUAUUUUUACAUGAAUGAAUGUUUGAAGAGGGUUCAUAUCACUUAUGGGAUUUAAUUUGAAUAAUAUGCACUACAUUAUUUCCUCUUUAAAAUUCACUGUACAUAUAACAUUGAUGCUUUAUAUUGGUUUCUUUAUAUUGUAAUAAUGAUACAGUUAAGUAUUAAAAUAAAUAUAUUACUUUUAAUGUGC